rnacentral:rRNA from 1 species
AUUGAACGCUGGCGGCAGGCCUAACACAUGCACGUCGAACGAGUGGCGGACGGGUGAGUAAUGCCUAGGAAUCUGCCUGGUAGUGGGGGAUAACGUCCGGAAACGGGCGCUAAUAACGCAUACUAUCAGAUGAGCCUAGGUCGGAUUAGCUUGUCGGUGAGGUAACGGCUCACCUAGGCGACGAUCCCUAGCUGGUCUGAGAGGAUGACCAGCCACACUGGAACUGAGACACGGUCCAGACUCCUACGGGAGGCAGCAGUGGGGAAUAUUGCACAAUGGGCGCAAGCCUGAUGCAGCCAUGCCGCGUGUAUGAAGAAGGCCUUCGGGUUGUAAAGUACUUUCAGCGGGGAGGCGUUACCCGCAGAAGAAGCACCGGCUAACUCCGUGCCAGCCGCCGCGGUAAUAC